rnacentral:rRNA from 1 species
AUUCCAGCUCCAAGAGCGUAUAUUAAAGUUGUUGCAGUUAAAAAGCUCGUAGUUGGAUUUCUGGUAUAAUGCGCCUGUCCCGGAAAUUUCUGUGUGACGGUGCGCGUUUGCCAUCCUUCUAGAAAACGUUUCUACCAUUUACUUGGCCGGACUCGCGAUCUAGAUCUUUUACUUUGAAAAAAUUAGAGUGUUUAAAGCAGGCAUAGCUUGAAUACAUUAGCAUGGAAUAAUAAUCUAGGACUUCGGUUCUAUUUUGUUGGUUUCUAGAAUUGAAGUAAUGAUUGAUAGGGAUAGUUGGGGGUGCUAGUAUUGGCCGGCCAGAGGUGAAAUUCUUGGAUUCGGUCAAGACUAACUUAUGCGAAAGCAUUCACCAAGGAUGUCUUCAUUG